rnacentral:pre_miRNA from 1 species
UGCAUUGGCAGGCUUAUUUCUUUAUUUAUAGGUUUUCUACCGUCCGUCUUAUUUAAACUUUUUUAUAAUUAAUAUAUUUAUUGAUAUUAGAUGAUAAAACAUGAAUAGCUCUUUAUGCAUAAUUUUUUUUAAUUUUUUAUAAAUUUUUCAAAUAAAACGGACAAUCAAACAUUGUAAAAAAAAACUAUAAAUGAACUUAUU